CCAGCAGAGCCAUGACAAAUGAUUGAUCACCAAACUGCCAAACCUGUGUUGUCCCUUGAAGCUAUGAAAUAGUGGUAAGAAGCUGGAUCAUCUUUCUUCAUCUGCUCACUGCCUUCACAGAAUUUGAAAGUGUGACGAAGUAUUUCAUCCCUUUACAGGAUUAGGGAUACGGAUUUGCCUGUCAUGGAGGUGCUGCUGGCUGGGUCACUGCCUGGUAGAGGGUGUCUCUUAGACCUGAUGUAACCUGAAGCAUGUGCUUUCUUAGGAGGUCUACAGCUGGGCUGGAGAACUGCAAACACUCAUCCUUUCA
rnacentral:lncRNA from 1 species